GACGAACGCUGGCGGCGUGCUUAACACAUGCAAGUCGAACGGAAAGGCCCUGCUCUUGUGGGGUGCUCGAGUGGCGAACGGGUGAGUAACACGUGAGUAACCUGCCCUUGACUUUGGGAUAACUUCAGGAAACAGGGGCUAAUACCGGAUAGGAGCUCCUGCUGCAUGGGGGGGGUUGGAAAGUUUCGGCGGUAGGGGAUGGGCUCGCGGCUUAUCAGCUUGUUGGUGGGGUAGUGGCUUACCAAGGGUUUGACGGGUAGCCGGCCUGAGAGGGUGACCGGCGACAUUGGGACUGCGAUACGCACCAGUCUCCUACGGGAGGCAGCAGUGGGGAGUCUUGCACAAUGGGCGGGAGCCUGAGGCAGCAGCGCCGCGUGCGGGAUGCCGGCCUUCGGGUUGUAAACCGCUUUCGACUGUGACGAAGCGUGAGUGACGGUAAUGGGUAAAAAAGCACCGGCUAACUACGUG
rnacentral:rRNA from 1 species